GACGAAGGGGGCUAGCGUUGUUCGGAAUUACUGGGCGUAAAGGGCGCGUAGGCGGUUCUUUAAGUCAGGCGUGAAAGCCCUGGGCUCAACCUGGGAGUGGCGCUUGAUACUGAGGAACUAGAGAGUGGGAGAGGUUGGUGGAAUUCCCAGUGUAGAGGUGAAAUUCGUAGAUAUUGGGAAGAACACCGGUGGCGAAGGCGGCCAACUGGACCAUUUCUGACGCUGAGGCGCGAAAGCUAGGGGAGCAAACAGG
rnacentral:rRNA from 1 species